AUGAGAAAUCCAGGGUUAAAUGGGCGUCGAAGGGGGACGAUAAUUCGGCUUACUUCCAUAGGGUGGUGAAUGGUAGAAAAGCGUCGAAUGACAUUCCAGACCUUACCUUAUGGUUGAUGGGCAGUGGAUUUCUAAGCCUAAGUUGGUCAAGAAAGAAGUGUUAAAAAUUUUUGAAACCAUUUUUCGGAAAAGUUUGUGACGAGGCCGGAAUUGGUAUGUGAUAAUUUUAAUAUUGUUCCUAUAGAGGAUGCUACGAGGUUAGUUCGGGCUUUCUCUAAAAAGGAGAUAAGGGAUGCGGUUUUUAGUUGCGGUUCAGAUAGAGCCCCGGGGCCAGACGGUUUUCAUUUCAAGUUUAUUAAACAAUUCUGGAGUAUCUUGGAAGAUGAUUUUUUUAAGCUUUUUACUACUUUUCAUGAGACUGGAGUAAUUAGUAGAGGAUGUAAUACUUCGUUUAUUACGCUAAUUUCGAAGACUAGCUCUCCUAUUGGGUUGAAAGACUAUAGACCUAUCACUUUAGUUG
rnacentral:lncRNA from 1 species